ACAGACACAUAUUAUUGAGAUACACAAAGUAAAUUCACAGGGGGAGAGAUGCUAUGAUAUAUUUUAAUAAGAAACUAGAGCAGAGGAGAAACCAAUCAACACAUCAAACAACGGCAACAACAGUAUGUAGCAAGCCGGGGCAGACUGUGACCGGCAGCACAGUGAUCAGAAGAUUGUCUUCGUUGGAUGUAACUGUUGAUUUGUUUGAUAUGAUUGGUCACGUUGCCUGUAAGCUGAUACUUGUUCACCAUGAUGCACACUCCUGGACUUGUUAUGAAGAUGAAAGCACAACAAAUUUUCAGUCCAGCCAAUUGGAACCCAACACGUCUAUUUCCAAUGGUCUUGUUAUAUGAGAUGUGAACAGAUUCCUUUAGAGUCCUUCGGUGCUGUCAUGUGGUUCAGCAACGGUGCACUGGUGUUAACAUGUAGUUGAGAAUAAUGUCUGUUUUGAGUGUAAAUGAAAACAAAAGACAGUUAUGUUACAUCAUAGUGAGAGGUGUUUUCCAAAACAUUUUUCCGUCAUUCUUGUAUCACUGAGGACAAAUGAAAUAUUAAAAACACCUCUCACUAUAAUUCAAUACACUUCAACAGCCAUUUAAACUACAACCUUAGAAAUAAAUCAACUCCUCUAUAAAACUGUUGCAGCAAUAACAGAAUGAUAAACUUCAUGAAGGGAGGACUUAGACUGAAAUAGUUUGUAGGUUUGUAAAAUCCUUGUCUCAGAUUCAGAAUCUGCAGUUUGCUAUGCCCAUUAAUCCACAUCAGUGAAAAACAAUUAGGUCGGACAGUGCAAGCAUACAUCACGCACCAGCCAGUGCGAUACUGGCUUGUGUGUACUGCUUUUUACAAGCUUUUUUCUGACACAGUGAUGUCAGGACUCAGGAGAUCACGCAGCACGCAGCAUAUAUCCCUUGCACAACCAUUUCAACAGUUCUGAUGCACAUCUCCACUUUACUUAUGCACACCCUCACUUUACAUACCUGUACAGCACACACUUGCACUUUAACUGCUCUCUUGCACUUCUGGUUAGAUACUAACUGCAUUUCGUUGUCUUAGUACGUGUACUCUGUGCAAUGACAAUAAAGUUGAAUCUAAUCUAAUCUAAUCUAAUCUAAAGUUUCAGUCAGGAGCUGGACAUUGUCUGAUAAAAUUAGUGGAGUUGUACUUUGCAAACUGGCAUUUUCCUCACCCUGGUAUAGAUGCUCUUGUAAUAUAGUGAUGACAUUACUGGAUGUUACCAUAAUCAUAUAUAUGUGCACUACAGACACAGGCUACAGGAAAUUAAAGGAGUGAGGGUUGUGCCACACUAAAAUUUGAAUGUGCAGUCAUGGUCCAUGGUGACCUUAGACCCUUGAUUAUCUCCCCUGAUGUCUCAGGAUCAGCUGGUUCUUGGCAUCAGUUGUGAGAUAAUUUGGAAUUGAUUUGCACAUUAAUCAGAUGCCUCUGUUGGGAAAAGGUAGUGUUAUUCCAAUGAUGCCAGGGCAGUGAGAUAGUGGGAUAGUCUAAAGUCACAUGUAAGAGGUUAACCUAAAUAUUAUAAAAGAAAUAAAACUUUUAAGGGGAGUGCAAAUCAACGUCACAAAUGUGCACAAGAUGAAUCAGGGAUGAACUGGGCGGCACUUAUAAAUUUUCACAGCAUUUGAGCAGAAGCGUGGGCAAUGACACUGCGCUUGGCUGAGCAGGAGCACCAUAAGGUCCUUUCACUUGUUUUACAGGUGUAAUCAAGUAAGAUUUUUUCCUGCUAAAACACAGCCCCUCUCCUCAGUACAGGGGCCCACUUUGGGAAAUUGGAAAAGGUGGAAAUUAUCCACAGGUCAAUUUCUCCUGGAAACAGUUGCAUGUUAGUUUCCAACGUCGGCAUUAAAAACAAGCGGAAUUUCCCUCCUGAGACCACUGACCGAACGACUCACAACAGGGGGCCAUCUAACUGUGUCCUGCAGCGUCUUUCAUUGAGAGCAACCAAGAGCCAGAAUGGAGCUUCAGUUCGCCACAGAGCCCGUGGUUGCUGAGUUGAGCAAGUGUAUUGAGUCUAAACAUGAUGAUUGGUGCAAAGAAGAGACAGUUUCAAAGGAAGCUGAAGAUUUGACCGAGUUGUCUUGUAUGGCGAAGCUUACAGCACCGCACUGAGCGAGCUGGGUGAGGACACUGAGCGGGAGGGGCUUUUACGCACACCAUUACGCGCAGCCAAUGCCAUGCAGUUCUUCACAAAGGGCUACCAGGAGACGACCCAAGCUAUCCUGAACGAUGCCAUCUUUAAUGAAAGCCAUGAUGAGGUGGUGGUUGUCAAGGACAUCGAUUUUUUCUCUCUUUGUGAACAUCAUCUGGUGCCCUUCUUUGUGAGGUAAUUCAAUUACAGAGACAUUCGGAAUCCUGAAAGAAUCAUUCCCUUUUGUUGUCGUUUUUGCUCUUAUUUCAGUUACGCUUUGUUGCAUUGUGUCAGGCUCACAUAGCGUACAUCCCAAACAAGAAGGUGGUUGGUCUGAGUAAGCUCGCAAGGUAAGUGAUAACCACAGGAUCCCACGCACGCACACGCACACGCACACACACACACACACACACACACACACACACUAAAAAUCAAAACAAAACAAAACCCCCAUUUUAUUCGCUUUGUUUUCUACUUUUCCAGAGAUUUUCAGCAGGAGGCUUCAAGGUCAAAUAUGAUUGACUUUACUCUUUUAUUUUCAUAAUCUUUUCCUGUUUUUCCUCCUGUGUUAGAUUAACUGUGCGUUUGUUUUCACUGUGUACUCCUCAGUUCAGGAGCGUCUAACCAAACAGAUUUUCUGCUGGAGUGGCAGUGGUGAUUGAAGCUGUUUUCAGUCACAUGUGCAUGACGAUGAGAGGUGUGCAGAGGAUAAAUGCCAAGACUGUAACAAGUGUCCUACUGGGAACUUUCCGACAAGAUCCCAAGACCCGGGAGGAGUUUUUCUCUCUGAUACUGAGGAAAUGAGAAGUUUUGAUCUCAGCAGGCAGGUCUACAGAGGGACGUGUCCACUCCAACAUGCAACACCCUUGGAUCUCCCCCUGAGUCUACAUCUGCCAGUUUUUCAGUGAAAUGCUGUUUCAUCUGUCUCCAUUUGGGGAUGGUUGCAAUCUUACUUCAGCUGAUACCUUUUGUGUAGAUACCUAUAGCUUUGGAAGACAGUUGGAAUAUCAGAAGGAAUUUACCUUAAAAAAUAAUGGGAAUAUGGAGUGAUGUUAAAUAAUGGCUAAAUUGUACUUCAGGUGCAUUUUGUGAUGUUAUUUUAGUUAUUUUAUUCUUAUGUUAUCUCAUUGUAUGCUGAUGGGCAAUAUGAACCUAUAUAUUGAUAUAUGAAGCUAUAUGGUGCUAUGUCUGAUUAGGAUGGAUUAUAAUUUCAAAACAUUUUUGAAACAUCAGUGUGAGAUAUUUAUUUGCUUGUACAAAAAUUCACAGAUCAAUAAAAAUGAUACUUUUGGUGAUUCUAACUUUCUUUUUUCUUUGUUGUCUGAUCAGUCUUUGGAGGCUAUAGGUGGCUGUGCAUAUACAUGACACUUGCACAAGCAUAAGAUGCAUCAAAUGGCAUUUUCUGAUUAAUUUCACCUGCAUGUCUUUGGAUUGUGGCAGUAAGGGAGAACAUGCAGACUGCACAGUGAAAGGCUCCGGUCCAACAUGGUCAGUCACAAACACAGGACCUUCUUGCUGUGAAGCCACUUUGAUCAUUAAUGAGUCACUUCAUGGAAGAGUUGAACAGCCCUUCCUACAUGACACUUGAUCUGGCUGCAAUGGUGUGGCGUGAAUCAUCUUCGAGACAGUUCUGUAUGUGAACAUCCAUUAUGUUGGGUAUUUUGUUACGACUGAGAAACUUUAACAAAAAUAAGAUGCACAUGAAAACCAUUCUUUAACAUGCAUCUAAUUAACACAUACAUAAGAAUAAGUAAAAAGUUUGGCAAAUAAUUUGGUGGUACUUAAAUGACACAAUUGCUUGCACUAAUAAAAAGUAUUGCCUUCAGAGACUAGCCGUGACAUAACUUUCAGAUCAAUAUCAGAUUUGAUGGUAUUGCUCAUCCCUAAUGGAAGUUAUAUAACUGAAGAUGUCUCAAAUUUUAUUUUUUUUUAGACAUUUAGACAAAAUCUAUGAUUCAGAGCGUAAGGUUUCAAAACCCAGAAAUAGCCCUAAAUAUCCAUGUAAGAGAUGCCUCAUUUCGUUUCUGGCUCUUAAAACCGCAAAUCUAUCUUCUUAUGGAUCAACACUUCAAAUGAAACACAGGAAAAGUGUCAAAUAUGGGACCUUAAAGUGCCAACAAGUGGUGUUUACGCUCCACACUCCUUGCACUGACAGAGGUGGUAUGAAAAGUAAUUUGUAGAAAUGGAAGAAACUUUAAAAGGUUGAAAAUAAAAGGGAAACUUUCUGAACAAAGCAUAAAGGAUAUCCAAAUGAACAUAGAGGAUGUGUGUGUAUUCAUUCAAAAAUGCAUUAGAGUUUAAUUCUGUUGA